CCUACGGGGGACUGCAGUGAGGAAUAUUGGUCAAUGGCCGGAAGGCUGAACCAGCCAUGCCGCGUGAAGGUCAGUGCCCUAUGGGCGUUAAACUUCUUUUGUGCGGGAGCAAUAAUGGUCACGUGUGGCCAGACGAGAGUACCGUACGAAUAAGCAUCGGCUAACUCCGUGCCAGCAGCCGCGGUAAUACGGGGGAUGCAAGCGUUAUCCGGAUUUAUUGGGUUUAAAGGGUGCGUAGGCUGUGAGGUAAGUCAGCGGUGAAAUGCCCCCGCUCAACGGGGUGAAGUGCCAUUGAUACUGCCUGGCUGGAAUGCGGAUGCGGUGGGAGGAAUGUGUGGUGUAGCGGUGAAAUGCAUAGAUAUCACACAGAACACCGAUUGCGAAGGCAUCUCACGAAUCCGCGAUUGACGCUGAUGCACGAAAGCGUGGGUAUCAAACAGGAUUAGAUACCCGAGUAGUC
rnacentral:rRNA from 1 species